ACACAUGCAAGUCGAGCGGAAACGAGUUAUCUGAACCUUCGGGGGACGAUAACGGCGUCGAGCGGCGGACGGGUGAGUAAUGCCUAGGAAAUUGCCCUGAUGUGGGGGAUAACCAUUGGAAACGAUGGCUAAUACCGCAUGAUGCCUACGGGCCAAAGAGGGGGACCUUCGGGCCUCUCGCGUCAGGAUAUGCCUAGGUGGGAUUAGCUAGUUGGUGAGGUAAGGGCUCACCAAGGCGACGAUCCCUAGCUGGUCUGAGAGGAUGAUCAGCCACACUGGAACUGAGACACGGUCCAGACUCCUACGGGAGGCAGCAGUGGGGAAUAUUGCACAAUGGGCGCAAGCCUGAUGCAGCCAUGCCGCGUGUGUGAAGAAGGCCUUCGGGUUGUAAAGCACUUUCAGUCGUGAGGAAGGUAGUGUAGUUAAUAGCUGCAUUAUUUGACGUUAGCGACAGAAGAAGCACCGGCUAACUCCGUGCCAGCAGCCGCGGUAAUACGGAGGGUGCGAGCGUUAAUCGGAAUUACUGGGCGUAAAGCGCAUGCAGGUGGUUUGUUAAGUCAGAUGUGAAAGCCCGGGGCUCAACCUCGGAAUUGCAUUUGAAACUGGCAGACUAGAGUACUGUAGAGGGGGGUAGAAUUUCAGGUGUAGCGGUGAAAUGCGUAGAGAUCUGAAGGAAUACCGGUGGCGAAGGCGGCCCCCUGGACAGAUACUGACACUCAGAUGCGAAAGCGUGGGGAGCAAACAGGAUUAGAUACCCUGGUAGUCCACGCCGUAAACGAUGUCUACUUGGAGGUUGUGGCCUUGAGCCGUGGCUUUCGGAGCUAACGCGUUAAGUAGACCGCCUGGGGAGUACGGUCGCAAGAUUAAAACUCAAAUGAAUUGACGGGGGCCCGCACAAGCGGUGGAGCAUGUGGUUUAAUUCGAUGCAACGCGAAGAACCUUACCUACUCUUGACAUCCAGAGAACUUUCCAGAGAUGGAUUGGUGCCUUCGGGAACUCUGAGACAGGUGCUGCAUGGCUGUCGUCAGCUCGUGUUGUGAAAUGUUGGGUUAAGUCCCGCAACGAGCGCAACCCUUAUCCUUGUUUGCCAGCGAGUAAUGUCGGGAACUCCAGGGAGACUGCCGGUGAUAAACCGGAGGAAGGUGGGGACGACGUCAAGUCAUCAUGGCCCUUACGAGUAGGGCUACACACGUGCUACAAUGGCGCAUACAGAGGGCGGCCAACUUGCGAAAGUGAGCGAAUCCCAAAAAGUGCGUCGUAGUCCGGAUUGGAGUCUGCAACUCGACUCCAUGAAGUCGGAAUCGCUAGUAAUCGUGGAUCAGAAUGCCACGGUGAAUACGUUCCCGGGCCUUGUACACACCGCCCGUCACACCAUGGGAGUGGGCUGCAAAAGAAGUAGGUAGUUUAACCUUCGGGGGGACGCUUACCAC
rnacentral:rRNA from 1 species